AACGAACGCUGGCGGCAUGCCUAACACAUGCAAGUCGAACGGGCCCUCCGUGGUUAGUUGCUCUCGGGUGCGUAACGCGGGGGAAUCUGCCCUUGUGUUCCGAAAUAUAGUUAGAAAUUACUGCUAAUACCGGAUGAUUUCUUCGGACCAAGGAUUUGUCGCCCAAGGUUGAGCCCGAGUAGGUUUAGCUGGUUGGUGGUGUAAUGGCCUACCAGGGCGUGGAUCGUUAGCUGGUCUGAGAGGAUGAUCAGCCACACUGGGACUGAGACCCGGCCCAGAAUACUACGGAAUGGAGGAGUGGGGAAUAUUGGAAGAUGGGGGAAGGGCUGAUGCAGCAAUGGCGGGUGAGUGAUGAAGGGCGUAGGGAUGUGAAGCUCUUUUACACGGGGUGAUAAUGACGGUACCGGGAGAAUAAGCACCGGCUAACUCCGUG
rnacentral:rRNA from 1 species